ACGGGUCAUGAGAGUGAGAGCCCGGAGACGGAAUCUGAGACAAGAUUCCGGGCCCUACGGGGCGCAGCAGGCGCGAAACCUUUACACUGCGCGAAAGCGCGAUAAGGGGAUCCCAAGUGCGAGGGCAUACAGUCCUCGCUUUUCUGUACCGUAAGGAGGUACAGGAAUAAGAGCUGGGCAAGACCGGUGCCAGCCGCCGCGGUAAUACCGGCAGCUCGAGUGAUGGCCGCUAUUAUUGGGCCUAAAGCGUCCGUAGCCGGCCAGAUAAGUCCAUCGGGAAAUCCACCUGCUUAACAGGUGGGCGUCCGGUGGAAACUGUCUGGCUUGGGGCCGGAAGACCUGAGGGGUACGUCCGGGGUAGGAGUGAAAUCCUGUAAUCCUGUCGGACCGCCGGUGGCGAAAGCGCCUCAGGAGGACGGACCCGACGGUGAGGGACGAAAGCUAGGGUCACGAACCGGAUUAGAUACCCGGGUAGUCCUAGCCGUAAACGAUGCUCGCUAGGUGUGGCACAGGCUACGAGCCUGUGCUGUGCC
rnacentral:rRNA from 1 species